GACGAACGCUGGCGGCGUGCUUAACACAUGCAAGUCGAACGAAGAGCGAUGGAAGCUUGCUUCUAUCAAUCUUAGUGGCGAACGGGUGAGUAACGCGUAAUCAACCCGCCCUUCAGAGGGGGACAACAGUUGGAAACGACUGCUAAUACCGCAUACGAUCUAAUCUCGGCAUCGAGGAUAGAUGAAAGGUGGCCUCUACAUGUAAGCUAUCACUGAAGGAGGGGAUUGCGUCUGAUUAGCUAGUUGGAGGGGUAACGGCCCACCAAGGCGAGGAUCAGUAGCCGGUCUGAGAGGAUGAACGGCCACAUUGGGACUGAGACACGGCCCAGACUCCUACGGGAGGCAGCAGUGGGGAAUCUUCCGCAAUGGACGAAAGUCUGACGGAGCAACGCCGCGUGAGUGAUGACGGCCUUCGGGUUGUAAAGCUCUGUUAAUCGGGACGAAAGGCCUUCUUGCGAAUAGGGAGAAGGAUUGACGGUACCGGAAUAGAAAGCCACGGCUAACUACGUG
rnacentral:rRNA from 1 species